CGCGCGGUUCUAUUUUGUUGGUUUCUAGGACCGCCGUAAUGAUGAAUAGGGACAGUCGGGGGCAUCAGUAUUCAGUUGUCAGAGGUGAAAUUCUUGGAUCUACUGAAGACUAACUACUGCGAAAGCAUUUGCCAAGGAUGUUUUCAUUAAUCAGGAACGAAAGUUAGGGGAUCGAAGACGAUCAGAUACCGUCGUAGUCUUAACCAUAAACUAUGCCGACUAGGGAUCGGACGAUGUUAUUUAGUUGACUCGUUCGGCACCUUACGAGAAAUCAAAGUGCUUGGGCUCCAGGGGGAGUAUGGUCGCAAGGCUGAAACUUAAAGAAAUUGACGGAAGGGCACCACCAGGGGUGGAGCCUGCGGCUUAAUUUGACUCAACACGGGGAAACUC
rnacentral:rRNA from 1 species